UACGUAGGGUGCAAGCGUUGUCCGGAAUUAUUGGGCGUAAAGAGCUCGUAGGCGGUCUGUCGCGUCUGCUGUGAAAUCUCGGGGCUCAACCCCGAGCGGUCGUGAGAAACUGGCAGGCUAGAGUGCGGGAGAGGAGAGUGGAAUUCCUGGUGUAGCGGUGAAAUGCGUAGAGAUCAGGAAGAACAUCGGUGGCGAAGGCGCUCUGCUGGACCAUAACUGACACUCAGGGACGAAAGCUAGGGGAGCGAAUGGG
rnacentral:rRNA from 1 species